AACCGGAAGUGCCUAGAUUCAAAUCCAGGCAGUUUGGCUCCAGGAUCUGUGCUCUUGACCAUGAUGCUCUGCUGCCUCUACUUAGGAGGGGAGCCUCUUAGAGGAGGCCUGAAAAAACAGGAGGAGAGAGCCACGUGGUGAGCUGGAGGCAGAGUAUGCUCUGGGUUGAGAGAAUAGCUGAGACCAAUGGAGACCCUGGGACCAGAGCUGACUGUCCCCCCUCACCCUUUACUAUAUGUUUGUGGUUACUCCCCCACUGUUCCCGGACCACUGGUGCCACAAGAGAUCCGACGACAGAGGGAGGCAUCAUGAAAGGAGAACAGACCUGCGGGAUGUCAUGCAGCCUCUGGGAGAGUGCCUUGAUUUUCCCUUAAAUACCCCCAGCCGGUCUGAGAAUGUAGGACAGUUUUCCUAAGGCGUUAACCCGCUGCCUUCUCGGACCACCAGUGCUCUGAUAAUAAACGCUUAUUCCACGGCCCAACUCCUGUGUCAGUCUAUUGGCUGAGCAGUGCAGGCAACACGAGCCCCGGACUUGUUUGGCCUCUGGUUACAGUUAUAUAUUUUUUAAAAGCCCUUAUUAGUUAUAGAUGCACAUAAGUGAGAGGGCUGUUGUCUGGGGCGUGCUUUAAAACACUCUGGAAAAAAGCUGGGAGUGUGUGAUAUUGUCAUAUAACGAUGAUACAUAUUUGGUCUUCGUCCCAGUUUCCUGGCACAAGUGCUUCUAAAACCCUUGGAAUAUCUUAAGUGAUAGGGAUGAGAAGAGUAUCUUUUGUUAUUCAUAGUAAGCCCCUUUCAACCCUACCUGCCUUUACGCUAAUGAGGUGACUCCUAGUGAGGCCCUCGAUAGCUUCAGGAACAUGUCUCAGAAAUAUCCUCCUGUGUGUGUCUGGAUUGUUUACAGCCAUCUCUGAUUAUUUAAUAGGGAUCUGUAGGUCCUGUAUUAACCCAAACAUGCCCUUCUACCCUGCAGCAUUUAACACCAAAGCUAUUGCUCCUAAAUUAGUCCAUUUUAAAAUGUAAAGGUUCUUCAGGAAGCUGAUGAUACAAAAUGAAGCAGCUCCUCCACACUAUAUCCCCUGGUUUCAGUGCUUUCUUUGUUUUGCCCUCCUCCCACGUUGACUACCUCCUUGGUGACCAAAGGCCUUAGAGGUACUUUCUGUUGUCCCGGCAUCAUUUUUCAUUUUGUGGACAGCUUUGAGGCAAGUGGCCAAAGCUUAGACUGAUCAAAAUCUGAACUUAGUCUAGUAUGAAAGUCCAAACCAGAACUAUUUUUUAAUUGCAUUUUAGUUAUUACAGAUAAUAACCAAGGGGUUGUAUGUUGCAUUUUUUCCUUAGUAGUUUGCAUUUCCUUACUAGUGAACCGACUCCUGGGAGUUGGAUCCAAUUCCAAAUUACAUUUGUAACUUUUAUUUGCAGUAACUGAUUGCAGUACCACUGCUGUUCCAUACCGUGGUGACCAUGUGACCACCCAGGAACCAAAGGUUCCUUAUUUCCCACCCUUUCAUUCUUUCUCUUCCCAAACCACUUAUUUCUGAGCCAGUAUCAGUCUAGCAAAUCUCACUUCUGACAUCAGCUAUUAGCCGUUUUUACUACCAGCACGUCUUACACCAAAUUUAUGGGUUAUUUUUUCCCCAUAGCAACCAAUUCUUCAACUACCCAGACACCACCUGAGUGUCCCACAAUUUAAUCAAUUCUGACAAUAAAUACACAGAGUGAGUUUAAUCCUACAAGACUGCCCCCACUUCAGAUGCAAUCCUAAAUCCUCAACCUCCCGUAAUUCUGA